UAGGGAAUCUUCCGCAAUGGGCGAAAGCUUGACGGAGCAACGCCGCGUGAGUGAUGAAGGUCUUCGGAUCGUAAAACUCUGUUAUUAGGGAAGAACAAAUGUGUAAGUAACUAUGCACGUCUUGACGGUACCUAAUCCGAAAGCCACGGCUAACUACGUGCCAGCAGCCGCGGUAAUACGUAGGUGGCAAGCGUUAUCCGGAAUUAUUGGGCGUAAAGCGCGCGUAGGCGGUUUUUUAAGUCUGAUGUGAAAGCCCACGGCUCAACCGUGGAGGGUCAUUGGAAACUGGAAAACUUGAGUGCAGAAGAGGAAAGUGGAAUUCCAUGUGUAGCGGUGAAAUGCGCAGAGAUAUGGAGGAACACCAGUGGCGAAGGCGACUUUCUGGUCUGUAACUGACGCUGAUGUGCGAAAGCGUGGGGAUCAAACAGG
rnacentral:rRNA from 1 species